UACGUAGGGUGCAAGCGUUGUCCGGAAUUAUUGGGCGUAAAGAGCUCGUAGGCGGUCUGUCGCGUCGGCUGUGAAAACCCGGGGCUCAACCUGGGAAUGGCGAUGGAUACUGGCUCGCUAGAGUGCGGUAGAGGAGAGUGGAAUUCCCGGUGUAGCAGUGAAAUGCGUAGAUAUCGAGAGGAACACCAGUGGCGAAGGCGAGUCUCUGGACGACUCCUGACACUGAGGCACGAAAGC
rnacentral:rRNA from 1 species